GAAACUGAGGCACAGAGCUGUUAAGUGACUUGUAAGAUCACACAGGGAAUCUACGGUGCAGCCAGGAACCAGGUCUCCCACCAGCGUUCUAACCACAAACCCAACCUUUCCUCGCUAGCUCGCUAUCAGCUACAGACCAGCCUGAAUCCAACGUGUUUCAAGCCCCGACCCCUCCCUCUUCCUUUGGGCUGGUUUCUGAUGAACCUUCCCCACCUGCAGCCACUUUCAGAGGCGUGAAGUCAAUUUUCCUGUGAGCAGCAACAGCUGAGAACCUCAGAUUCGGUCGCUAUGAAAGAAACCAUGGAGGCGAGUUUCAUUACCAGCAUUGGGCUGUUGAUUCACCUAGGUGCGGCGCUGGAUGACUCAGUCCACUCCAAGGACCCCCAAGUGUCCGGGAUAGAAGGAGACUCUGUGACCCUCAGCUGCUCUUACACUACCAGCUAUACUGGUUCCCUCUCUCUCUACUGGUUCCUCCAGUAUCCCAACCGAGACCCGCAGUACAUUCUCCAGAAAGGCGCUAAGGGAAGCAGGUACCAGCAUACUGCAGAUUUCGCCCAGCAGAGGUUUUCUUCCCAGGCUGCUGACAGCUCAACGGUUUUAACCAUCACCUCCCUGGAGCUGGCAGACACAGCGGUGUAUCUCUGCGCCCUGCAACGAGCACAGUGACAGAGCAACAUGGCAGAGCUGUACAAAAACC